GAGUGUAAGGUUGAUUACCAGAUGAGGUUCUGUAUAUAGUGAGUGUAAGGUUGAUUACCAGAUGAAGUUCUGUAUAUAGUGAGUGUAAGGUUGAUUACCAGAUGAGGUUCUGUGUAUAGUGAGUGUAAGGUUGAUUACCAGAUGAAGUUCUAUACAUAGUGAGUGUAAGGUUGAUUACCAGAUGAGGUUCUGUAUAUAGUGAGUGUAAGGUUGACUACCAGAUGAGGUUCUGUGUAUAGUGAGUGUAAGGUUGAUUACCAGAUGAGGGUCUGUAUAUAGUGAGUGUAAGGUUGAUUACCAGAUGAGGUUCUGUAUAUAGUGAGUGUAAGGUUGAUUACCAGAUGAGGU